UCCCACUGGCAAUGGGUAAAGAGACACUUUGUUGUUGGUGGUGGUCUUGUGUUAGGGGCAGAACAGAAAGCAGUUCUUUGUUCAUCCUAGCUUGAUGCCUGGCUUGGUGGCCAAAGCCGUUUUAUACAUGGGACACAUAA